UACAGAGGGUGCGAGCGUUAAUCGGAAUUACUGGGCGUAAAGGGCGCGUAGGCGGAUAAUUAAGUUAGAUGUGAAAUCCCAUCGGGCUUAACCUAGGAACUGCAUCUAAUACUGGUUGACUGGAGUGCGGUAGAGGAUAGUGGAAUUUCCGGUGUAGCGGUGAAAUGCGUAGAUAUCGGAAGGAACACCAGUGGCGAAGGCGGCUAUCUGGACUGACACUGACGCUGAGGCGCGAGAGCGUGGGGAGCAAACAGG
rnacentral:rRNA from 1 species